rnacentral:rRNA from 1 species
AGGAAGCCCCGGCUAACUACGUGCCAGCAGCCCGGGUAAUACGUAGGGGCAAGCGUUGUUCGGAAUUACUGGGCGUAAAGGGAGCGUAGCUGGGAAAGUGAGUUAGGAGUGUAAUACGCAGGCUUAACCUGCGGCUCGCUUCUAAUACUGCUUUUCUUGAGUAUGGGAGAGGGAGACGGAAUUCCAGGUGUANCGGUGGAAUGCGUAGAUAUCUGGAAGAACAUCAGUUGCGAAGGCGGUCUCCUGGCCCAAUACUGACACUGAGGCUCGAAAGCUAGGGGAGCAAACAGGAUUAGAUACCCUGGUAGUCCUAGCCGUAAACGAUGGACACUAGAUGUUGGGGGAGUUAUUCCUUCAGUGUCGUAGCUAACGCGUUAAGUGUCCCGCCUGGGGAGUACGCUCGCAAGGGUGAAACUCAAAGGAAUUGACGGGGGCCCGCACAAGCGGUGGAGCAUGUGCUUUAAUUCGAUGCGACGCGAAGAACCUUACCUGGGCUUGACAUGGGAGUGAAAUCCCGUAGAGAUACGGGACUUUCCUUCGGGAACACUCCACACAGGUGCUGCAUGGUUGUCGUCAGCUCGUGUCGUGAGAUGUUGGGUUAAGUCCCGCAACGAGCGCAACCCUCGCCCUUAGUUGCCAGCGGGUAAUGCCGGGAACUCUAGGGGGACUGUCUGGUACAACCAGGAGGAAGGUGGGGAUGACGUCAAAUCAUCAUGGCCCUUACGCCCAGGGCUAGACACGUGCUACAAUGGCUGGUACAACGGGCUGCAAGCUCGCGAGAGCAAGCCAAUCCCUAAAAACCAGCCUCAGUUCAGAUUGGAGUCUGCAAUUCGACUUCAUGAAGGUGGAAUCGCUAGUAAUCGCGGAUCAGCAUGCCGCGGUGAUACGUUCCCGGGCCUUGUACACACCGCCCGUCAAGCCACGAAAGAUGGUAGUACCCGAAGUCGCUACUCUAACCCGCAAGGGAGGAGGGCGCCGAAGGUAAGAUCGCUAACUUGGGGCUAAGUCGUA